UGUUAAAAAUUUCAUCCAUUUGUACGGUUAAAAACUGACAUGAUUGAUGGAAUAACCAAACAAUAACACAUGACGUGCCACGUAUACCUCAUGCUGACGAUACUAGUUUUAUUAGUAAAAAUAGAUGAAAUUUUUAAUA
rfam:Gossypium hirsutum cultivar TM-1 unplaced genomic scaffold scaffold171.1, whole genome shotgun sequence